AAUGGCUCAUUAAAUCAGUUAUCGUUUAUUUGAUAGUACCUUACUACUUGGAUACCCGUGGUAAUUCUAGAGCUAAUACAUGCAAAAAACCCCGACUUCGGGAGGGGUGUAUUUAUUAGAUAAAAAACCAAUGCCCUUCGGGGCUCCUUGGUGAUUCAUAAUAACUUAACGGAUCGCAUGGCCUUGCGCCGGCGACGGUUCAUUCAAAUUUCUGCCCUAUCAACUUUCGAUGGUAAGGUAUUGGCUUACCAUGGUUUCAACGGGUAACGGAUUUUUAGGGAAAGAUCCCGGAGAAGGAGCCUGAGAAACGGCUACUACAUCCAAGGAAGGCAGCAGGCGCGCAAAUUACCCAAUCCCGACACGGGGAGGUAGUGACAAUAAAUACUGAUACAGGGCUCUUUUGGGUCUUGUAAUCGGAAUGAGUACAAUUUAAAUACCUUAACGAGGAACAAUUGGAGGGCAAGUCUGGUGCCAGCAGCCGCGGUAAUUCCAGCUCCAAUAGCGUAUAUUAAAGUUGUUGCAGUUAAAAAGCUCGUAGUUGAACCUUGGGCCUGGCUGGCCGGUCCGCCUCACCGCGUGUACUGGUCCGGCCGGGCCUUUCCUUCUGGAGAACCGCAUGCCCUUCACUGGGUGUGCUGGGGAACCAGGACUUUUACUUUGAGAAAAUUAGAGUGUUCAAAGCAGGCCUUUGCUCGAAUACGUUAGCAUGGAAUAAUAGAAUAGGACGUGCGGUCCUAUUUUGUUGGUUUCUAGAACCGCCGUAAUGAUUAAUAGGGAUAGUCGGGGGCGUCAGUAUUCAAUUGUCAGAGGUGAAAUUCUUGGAUCUAUUGAAGACUAACUACUGCGAAAGCAUUCGCCAAGGAUGUUUUCAUUAAUCAGUGAACGAAAGUUAGGGGAUCGAAGACGAUCAGAUACCGUCGUAGUCUUAACCGUAAACUAUGCCGACUAGGGAUCGGGCGAUGUUUCUAUAUUGACUCGCUCGGCACCU
rnacentral:rRNA from 1 species